GGUAUUGCUGGCUUGUCCCCAGUCUAAAUGAACUAAUUACCCACAACCUGUCAAGACUCUCUCAAGGAACGUAGGACUCGCCCAUAUAGUUCCCUCCCCUGAUGUUUUCAGCUAGGCCUGGCUGCUACAUAGUUCUAGUGCCUCUAUCACUCUCCAAAAUCCUGCUUCAUGUCUGGGGCAUCUCAAUGCCUUGGUGCGUCAUUCAGUGACUUCUCAGUGCUGGCAUGCAGGAGCCUGCAAUGCUGCAGCUGGGGCUGCACUGCUGUUGUGGCCCCAUGCUUCAAGGAUCUCACAAGCAAAUGGGUUCCCAAAUGGCAUCACUUGCUACAAAACGGUCAUGUCUCAAUCACUAGGAUAAGAGAUCUUUGAGGUUUCUGAACUACAAAACCUACUUUUUUUAAAACAUCUUGUGCCACAAAACCUGCUAAAAGAAUACGCUUCUUUGAAAGGUUGCUACUCCAGCAGAACAGCAAAAGCAAGCUGCUUAGAUAAUUGUAACAUAAAACUAAGGAUAACUAAACUCUGGUUUAAACUGCAUAUUUUUUUUUGUCUGCUUGUUAUCCCUCUAGCUUUUUACCUCCUUUUUUGCCUUGAUGUCCCUCUUUCCCUUUGCAGGCAGAUAGUCAGCUACUGUUCCCAUGAAUACACUGCCUGCUCUUUUCACUGGUGGGCUCAAGCCUUUGCGCACAUUCCCACACAAGCCCCAGAAAGUUCAGAGCUCUUCUGGCCUCUUUGAAGAGGGGCCAGUCCUGCAAGACUCUCCUGAUAACCCCACUCAUGUCAAUAGUCCUGUUUGUGUGAUUAAGGAUUACACAUAAGGAUGCUCAGGGGUGUUGGGGCAUCAAGAAUCUUUUCAGCUUUAAAAGAGGAAAAGGGUGGUUUGGCCUUUGGUAGAGCUUGGAGGGGUUUGUUUCCUUUAUGCCUUAUAGCUGGCAUUUUGUCAGAGCUUUCUGCGCACUAGCAUUCCCAUGACACAUGAACAUGCUCAAAGAGAAAUUUCCUGUGAGAAAUCAGUGGGCUUCAUUAAAUUUUCAAAGUUUAGAGCUGUGAUCCUCUUUGCCCCUCCGCACAGGCAGCUGGCCACGCCAGAUUCUGGUCGCUUAUGUGAACAUUUGAUAAAUCUCACUGUGGACUACAUUUGCUCUUUCACCCAAGCA
rnacentral:lncRNA from 1 species